rnacentral:rRNA from 1 species
UACGUAGGGUGCAAGCGUUGUCCGGAAUUAUUGGGCGUAAAGAGCUCGUAGGCGGUUUGUCGCGUCUGCUGUGAAAUCUUAGGGCUUAACCCUGAGCUUGCAGUGGGUACGGGCAGACUAGAGUGCGGUAGGGGAGACUGGAAUUCCUGGUGUAGCGGUGAAAUGCGCAGAUAUCAGGAGGAACACCGAUGGCGAAGGCAGGUCUCUGGGCCACUACUGACGCUGAGAAGCGAAAGCAUGGGGAGCGAACAGG